UAAAACUUUCAACAACGGAUCUCUUGGUUCUGGCAUCGAUGAAGAACGCAGCGAAAUGCGAUAAGUAAUGUGAAUUGCAGAAUUCAGUGAAUCAUCGAAUCUUUGAACGCACAUUGCGCCCUCUGGUAUUCCGGGGGGCAUGCCUGUUCGAGCGUCAUUUGCAUCCCUCAAGCUAAGCUUGGUCUUGGG
rnacentral:rRNA from 1 species